GCCUACGGGCAUUUGGUCAAUUUGAAACGAUACAGAGAAGAUGUAAGUUUACCCAUUUCCAGAGGUUGUGGGUUCGAGCCAGAACACUAACAUCUUCACAGUAGCAUGGCCCCUGCACUAAGGAUGACACGCUCAAUCAAAGAGAAGCUACCAAUUUUU
rnacentral:snRNA from 1 species